rnacentral:rRNA from 1 species
UACAGAGGUCCCAAGCGUUGUUCGGAUUCACUGGGCGUAAAGGGUGCGUAGGCGGUCGGGUAAGUCUGUCGUGAAAUCUCCGAGCCCAACUCGGAAACUGCGUCGGAUACUAUUCGGCUAGAGGAAUGGAGGGGAGACUGGAAUUCUCGGUGUAGCAGUGAAAUGCGUAGAUAUCAUGAGGAACACCAGAGGCGAAGGCGGCUACCUGGACAGUUACUGACGCUCAGGCACGAAAGCGUGGGGAGCAAAAGGG